ensembl:lncRNA
AUGUCUUUAUCAAUACUUGACUGCAGUGUUUUAUUGCUUUCCUUCCCAGAGGAGCCCAAUGUCAGCCUUUCACAGAACUGUAGUGGGGAAGUGAGGAUAGAUGGCGUUCCAGUGUGUGCUAGUAACUGGGAUCUAUCCUAUGCACACAAAGUUUGCCAAGAAAAGCUUUGUGGCAAUGCUGUCUUCAUUAAACCCAAAGCUCCAUCAAAGGGUUCAGGUAACAUUUACCAUGUCAGCUGUGAAAAGUACCAUUCCAUCAUUGGCCAGUGCAGGAGGACUAAAGGAAAGUGUGACACAAAUGUGGUGUUCAUUACUUGUAGUGAAAGUGUAAAGUUCCGCACGACUGAAAAACAUGGAGGUGUACUUGAAGUCAAUUAUCGAGAUAAGUGGGAAAGAGUAUGUCCAUUUAAUCCUUCCCCAGUUUUAGUGAGAAAGCUCUGUGAAGUGAUUAAGAAAGAAAACCAUAGCAUCUCUAAGGAAGACAAACAGGUCAACUUAGAAACAACACUGGAGUUCACUGAUGUUACCAUGGACGUCAAGCACUCCGUCAAACAACGUUCCUGUGGAAACGCUUCUCCAGCUGAAAUACUUUGUGAAGACUAUGAAAAACAUCCCUCUAUAUCCAUAGCACCUAUUAUCAUGGGUGUGAGACUUCUUGUUGUGGUGAUCUUGACUUUUGUAUUUGUACGAUUCUGUGUCAAGAGAGCGAGGAGGUCCAGAGCUUCAUCAAGAAUGCUGCCAGGGAAAGAACUGGAGUUUCAAGGUGGGGAACAUGAAGAUGUCACUGACAAAGAAAAUGAGAUGGAAGACUUCAGUUGUGGUGGUGUCAGAUCAGAGGCUGAAUUAAUCUCAGAGAAGGAUGAUAUUCAAGCAGAUGAGGCUCGACCCCUGACCUUUCCAGGCACUACUGCCAUCAACAUCAACACACAUAAAGAUGGGGUGACCUAUCAAGUGGAAAAUCCAGUGGAGAGUUUUGACGACAUCGAUACAAUCGCUGGAACCACACUGACUACAGCAGAGGUCCAUGUCAGCCACACAUGACUUAAACACAGCAGCCCCAGGAUUGGUGCGAAGGAAUGAGGACUAAAUGAAAAACAAUAUUAAAAUCUUUAAAUGCAAUAUACAUUUAAUGAAAUGGCUGAAGGAAAACUAUAUUUGAUGCAAGAACUUGCUGUAAAAACAAAAACAAUCUCUCUUUUGAUACUGUAUAGCAAAAACUCUUUAAUGCAAAAUGUAUAAGAGUGAUAAGGUAUUACUCUGAGUAAAAUAUGAUCUUUAAAGCAUAAAUAUUCAAUAUCUUGUGGUUGUCGUCUUGAUAUUUUCAAUGUGUCAGUAGAUGGUCGUUGAGACACCAGAGUCUCAGUUGUAGUAGUGCUAAGCUGGUCUGUUUAGUCUUCAUCUUAAAAAUGCUCAACUUUACAAAUAAAAAACUAUUAGAUUUCAUUUAUUAUCUUUUGUGUUUAUUUCUUCUCAUGGUUGUAGCUUUUUUUUCUGCAGCUAAUUUAGGGCUAACUUUCACAUUCAUGACAAAUGUUCACAGAACACAUUUUUCUAUAACUCAC